rnacentral:rRNA from 1 species
AAUCAACGCUGGCGGCGUGCCUAACACAUGCAAGUCGAGCGCGAAAGGGGAGUAAUCCCCAAGUAGAGCGGCGAACGGGUGAGUAACGCGUGGGUGAUCUACCUCCGAGUGGGGAAUAACCCCGGGAAACUGGGGCUAAUACCGCAUGACAUCCCUGAGUCACAUCGGGGAUCAAAGCCGGGGACCGCAAGGCCUGGCGUUUGGAGAUGAGCCCGCGUCCGAUUAGCUAGUUGGCGGGGUAACGGCCCACCAAGGCUUCGAUCGGUAGCCGGCCCGAGAGGGCGGACGGCCACACUGGGACUGAGACACGGCCCAGACUCCUACGGGAGGCAGCAGUGGGGAAUUUUUCGCAAUGGGGGAAACCCUGACGAAGCAACGCCGCGUGGAGGAUGAAGGCC